rnacentral:rRNA from 1 species
ACUUGAAUUGAAGAGUUUGAUCAUGGCUCAGAUUGAACGCUGGCGGCAGGCUUAACACAUGCAAGUCGAACGGUAGCAGGAGAAAGCUUGCUUUCUUGCUGACGAGUGGCGGACGGGUGAGUAAUGCUUGGGAAUCUGGCUUAUGGAGGGGGAUAACGACGGGAAACUGUCGCUAAUACCGCGUAAUAUCGAAAGAUUAAAGUGUGGGACCUUCGGGCCACAUGCCAUAGGAUGAGCCCAAGUGGGAUUAGGUAGUUGGUGGGGGAAAACCCGCCCUUGCCUUCGAUCUAUAACUGGCCGGAGAAGAAAAAUAACCCCACUCUAAAUAAAACCACGGAGCCGGACUACCUAGUGGCAGGACCCGCCCGCGGAAAAUACGCACAAUCCCCCGGAACCCUGAAGCCAAAGAUGCCUCGCAAACAAAAAACGCCUUAUGUGUGUUAAAAGGCGAUCAACUUUUUAGUGAAGGAGUGCUGCUAUAAAUAAUACCAAACUAUAUUAUUCUCCCACACGCACAUCCCGCAAAAACACCGCCGGGGCAAACAACACCAACACAAAGGGGUGUAGGCUCUCCCCCCCCCUAUUA